rnacentral:pre_miRNA from 1 species
AAAAAGACAAACACUGAGUUUCCAUAUCUAACGUUUGACUGUCCGUCUUAUAUGAAAUUUUUUAUAAUUACUAUUUUUAUUAUUGUUAGAUGAUAAAAUAUAAUUAAUAUUUUAUGCGUGACUUGUCUUUUUAAUUUUUUUUUAUAAUUUUUUUAAUAAGACGGACGGUUGGAAACUCAAGAU